rnacentral:piRNA from 1 species
UGACUCGUCCCUUUGGACCAUAGACGCAGC